CAUCGAUCGGCAGGCGGACUCCCAACCACUGCGCCACCCGGGAAGCCCACUCCUCUCUCCUUUAAAGCAGGCUGUUUCUCACUGUUUGCUCCAUGACUGGCCAGAAGACGGCUUUGGAUGUUGGCUUUAAUACUUCCCUUUUUCACAAGUUAAAAGUCAACUUUUAUUCCUAAGAGGAAACAAUAGUGAAGAUAACAUAAAAAAAAAAGUAACAAUAGUUUUAGCUAAUUGAAAAGAAAACUACAAAUAAAGUGAUUCAACCCUCAGAAUGCACAAAAGAUGCGACUAGAAAGGAACGUCUCGAUUUUCAAGGCCCCCCCAUACAUAAUCUCUGGAACACCAACUCCCCUUGAAUAGAAAGCUAUUAACCGAUUCUCACCUUAUUUAUAGGCACCGUGUUAUUUUAACGAAAACUAAAUCUUGCUUGCUCUUUCUUUCCAGUCCUUUCUCUGCUCAAUUGAUUUCCUGUGGCUACAGGGGAAUCAUUUAUAUUUAAAUCUUCACCUGAGUCCCCCAAGAGUUUGAGCCCACCUGAAUGGGGAGAUAAUCGCUCUUAGCCAAAUUGAAAAUGCUCUCGAGAACUUCCGGAGGACUCAUCCAGCUUCCCACACGGAAUCUAUCCAGGUGUGACCUCAAUUGUGAUUUCUGCACAGUGGUAUUAAAUCAAAAAUAUACGGUAAGAUUUUGUGAAAGUGGUAUGUAUGGGGGUGGAGGGGGAUGGUAAAGAGAGGUGGAGAGAGAGACCUUCUCAGGAGAGAGGGCUGGGAAAGCCCGUGCAGGGGCAGAGCUGGGGGCAGGGACACAACUGGACACAGAUGGCGCCUCUGCUGGCCUCUGUCUUCCCGAUGACGGUCUUCUGGGGCUUUGCCUCUCCCAGGGUGGCUCAAACCUCUCCGCCAUGUUAAAGACUGGGUGUCUCCCCCGCCCACUCCAGCCUUGGGAUGUCUCGGGCGCUGAUGUUAGACAGCACUUAUCACAGUGCCAAGCACUGAGAAGCAUAUCAAAUAAAUAUAGUUACUGUUAUUCAUCAUGUAAUCAGAGCGAGUGCUCCAGAAAAGGCUGUUAAAUGAAUCAUGAACGGACUAGGCUCACUUAGCUUCCUGGGGGUGAGUGUUGCCCCAGUCUGAACCAGGACACAGCACACAGACGAGGCUCUCACGGGGCUGCUCGACAUCGGCUAGGACAGUCACCGGCCCCGCCUUCAGAAGCAGACGAAGCUUCCGCUGUGAUGCUAGCUGAAGGAAGCAUGUUUGCUGUAGGGGGCAGCAACUGAUGUACGGCCCUGAGUUUGCAGGUUGGGGCCCCAUCAAGGACCAGGACGAGAGCGCCAGCAAUUUCUCCGAACCCGCUUUUCUAACAGCAAACCGUUUCAUCCACAGUUAAAGCCCAGCAGGAUGAGUCACCCGAACGCUUGCAUCUCAUUUGCAAAAUGGAAGGAUGGGAGCCACGGGUCUCUGAGGUUCCCUUGUGCUGUGACAGUCUUAAAGCCACACAGGGUCCCCAGUUUACAGACACGGAGAUAACCACACACCUUUGCGUUUUCCGAGAAUUAUGAGGAUGCCAUGCUGCGAAGUGACACACAGAAAACAUGACCACACUGUUGCCAAACUCAAGUGUGAACUCCUGCCCCUCUACAUACUGGCUGCGAGCAGGAAAUACAGAACGACAGCCCCACCUCCUACCCACCAGCAAUAAACAGGAGGAAAUGUGGUUGCAGUGUGAUGACAGUGGCUCGUGGACCAGAAGACUGCGUCUGAGUUAUUUCUCAAUCUCAAAUCUAAAGCUGUGAAGAACAUUUUUCUUGGGUGCUGUCUGGAAUAUGACAGUUCUGGGCAGAAAAGUCCAUUUCCUUGAAAGGAAUUUUGUGCUCAGCUGACCUUGGUAUCCAUCCUCCCAUCUCACCUCACAGCAUCUGUCCACUUCCAGAAGUUGUCUAAAGACCACCCUGGGAUCAAAGCCUUGCCCCUGCUUUCUAGCUGCGACUGUGGUCACUGUGGUGAAAAACAAGAUCAUAAACUCCAGAGAGAUGGCAACCUUUAGUACCAAGAUCUGCGCCAAGACAUCACUGGGGUUUCCGACACUGGGGCUGGGGAGAGCUGACAGCAGAGAAAAUCCAAGCAGCAGUAAAGACACAGGCAGGGAAGAAAGAAGCCACCAGUGUUUGUGAAGUAGCCGCAAACUGUACACAUGCUGUUUCUUCACUGUUCAUCCAACGUGGAUUGAGGUGAAGAAACAGGUCCAAAGAGGUUAAGUAAUCUGUCAAACAGCUGGAAAUAGACACCACCAGAUGUUUAUUCUUGAGAAAAUGCUUUAGGCACAUCUUUGAAAACCUCCUCAAGUCAGUGUUAAUCCAUGUAACGAACCUUUCCAUGAAGAGGUGACCUGCACUGAGUGCGCCCCCCUCCCAAACAUAUCCACGUCCAAAUUCUUGCAACCUCUGAAUGAUCUGGAAAAAGGCUCUUUGCGAUGCGAUAAAGUUAAGGCCCUUGAGAUGAGACCAUCCUUGAUCACCAGAGUGAACCGUAAACCAAUGAUAAAUGUCUUUGCAAGAGACAGAGGAGGAGGUGGCAACGAGAGGAUGAACAGAGAUGAAGCCCCGGGUCCCGGGCAGCCAGGAGCCACCGGCAGUUGGGAAAGGUAAAGUGAAUUCUCCCCUAAAGCCUCCAGAGGGAGCACAGUUCUGGCCUCCAGACCUGACAGAGAACACAUUUCGGUUGUUUGAAGCCACCUGGUUUCUGGUGGCUCGUCACGGCAGCCUGAGGCAGGCAGCCGGGAAGGUAAGACUCAGCGUCAGGAGUUGAGGCUCGUGUCCAGGCCUGGGUGUCUGGGUGGACGCAGUGGAGGGGAUGGCGCUGAGUGAGUGGCGUGGGCGACCGGGGGAGGCUCACCGUCUGGAAGCUGCAGGAGGAGACUCGCGGUUGAUAUAACGAGCCAGCUUUCCAGCCAGGAGAGCUGUGGGCAGCGCGUGCACUCCCAGUCGUGCACGGAGCUGCCCGUCACAGGGGGUCGUCUUGCCCGCUUGGGAGGUUAUUCCUCCCGAGGUCUGUUUGGAGGUGGAACGGGUGGGGUCUGACGCCAACCCCACUCACAUGUUCUCCCACUGAAGAAGGCCAGGGUCAGGCAGGCGGCGAGCUCGCAGAAACACUUGCUCACAGAAUCCACGGACACAAGUCGCACGGUAUCUCAUAAAGUGUUUUUCCUUUAAAGUUUUUCGUUCACUGUAGUAUUUUAGCAGAACGUGCCAGGAGGCAGAAAGCAACAACCUUUCUGUUCUCCAUUUCUGGAGCUAGGUGGCUCUUCCCCGCCCUUCUCCGCAUGGUCACCUGCAGUAAGAUAGCUGGACAGCGGGGACAGCGCAGAGUUGGACAUGUCACACCUGUGAGCUGUUACUCCAUGUGCUAGAGCCAACCUUGGAAACUGUUCCACGGCCCCCUUAUUCCUGCAGUUUCCAUCCCACUGUGUGGACCAGAUGGACCUCGGGGAGCCUGUAGGUGCCACGCACGUGCCUGUUCACCGUCCAUUGGAAACAACGGCCCUUGUACCACCCUGGCAGUCUCACAGUCAAGAUCCAAAACCUGGGCUGCCCUAAAUUGUAUCAAAAUAUCUCGAAUCAGAGCAGAAAUCUUAGCAUUCUUUCCUCCAAGGCUGAUAGUUAAAAUACUAUUUUCUAACCAGUAUGAUAUGGUGUCCCUGACCAAUCAGAAGAGAUGCUGGCGGUGACCCCAGUUACAGGGAGGAAAGCGCUGAGUCACUGCCCGGUUGGCCAGCUUCAGGGUUCCCGCUGCCACACACCUAUAAGGGACACAGGGGGCGUCCUCUGGGCUGUUGAAAAGACUCCGCUUACUUUGUGCAAUAGGGAAGAAAGAGAGGAGAGAGAAGUGAACAAAACUGUUCGAGUGAAAUAUCUAAAUAUCAAGUCAUAAGUUAAAGGGAACCUUUCUGGAAGUAAAGGAGUCUUCCGGAAACAAAUUAUCACCUUGCUGGUAACAGUGGCCCUUUCUCCAUGACCACUGUUCCCUGGAGUUGAAUAGGAUACUGUUCUGGCUCUUAAUUUGCUGCCAGACCCUCGGGGGAAGGAAGCCGAUGAGUAAAUCACUGAUUACAGUCCAGUCUAAUAAGUGCUUCUGUGAUGAAAAUCAUGAUAAUAAUAAUAAUGAUAGGUGGUCAAACAGUCUAAAUAUUUUAUAUGGAUCGUCUCACUGAAUAUUCCUAACCACCCACGAAAUAGGGGCUAAUAAUGGCUCCACUCUGCAAAUGAGGAAACCAAGGCAGAACAAAUCACUUGCAGAGUCAAGAUGUCAAUCAAGCAGCCUGGCUCUGACCUGACCCCGCCCCCCCUGCAUCCCUUGGUUAGGCUCCCGGCAAGACAAAACUGUAGUACCAGAUCAGAGUGGAGAUCACAGGAGGCUUCCAGGAGGAGGGGCUGCAGAACAAUAGACUAGAUGUAAUGAAGCUACAGAAGAAAGAUCACCUGCCCCCACUCCGUGUUAAUGAGAAAAGAUACGACUUGCCAUUUGCCUGUUUUAAUUCAAACCUUCCAAUCUGGUGAUUAUCUUUUCAUCUCCAUACAUGGUCUUAGGGCUCACAUUUGCCCAUCACCUUCA